AGGCUUUAACUAAAAUUGAAAAGUCAAUUAUCAAAUAUUCAUUAUCAUUUUUUAUAACAAUGAACUGUAAGUAUGAAGUAAAAUAAUUGUUUUAUUGAGAUGUUUAAAUUACAGGAAUUGCCUUUUAUAAAAAAAAGAAAAUACUUCCCCAAAUGUUUAAAGUAUGUCUAGACAUUAACUUUAUAUGUCAGGUCAUUAUCAUAAGACAAGAUUAACUCCAAGGAUGACUAAGUGCACACUUAUAUGAAUGUAAAACAAAAGUAAAUACAAAUGUAGAUUAGUGUGUUGUAAGGAAAGCGAGAAUGAAGGAUCUUUUUUUUUUAAUAAUUUUAAGUAUGAAUAAAUUUUCUUCUUGAAUCUUAAACAUUUAGACUGUGGUGUACAUUUAAAUUCAUUUUAUGCCAGGAAUCUACUGCAAAACAAAUUUUACUAAUCAUACUUUUAUAUUUUUACACUUUGAUGGUAGAACUAUACAGAUGAUUCCAUAUUCAUGCCAGUAUCAUAAUUGACAUUGAAUCUUUUUUCCUUAAUUUGUAUCAAAAGUUAUAUUGCAACUCUGGCAAAAAUAAUAUUUAAAACAACAUGCAUUCUGUUAAGGACUUUUUGGUUUUGAUGCUUAUUAGUUUUAUGUACAAUAUAUUUGGCUUCCCAAACUUUUGGUAUCAUAGUCAUGCCCACUGAAAUCUGUAUCAUCCUUAUAUCUAUUCAGGACCACUAGGUUAGUACCCCAAUUGGAGGACAAUUAAUCCUAAAAAGUAUCAUACACCCAUUAUCUGGUACUUUGGUAUAGGUAUGAAUAAAAUAAUAUAUUCUGACUUAAUUGUCAUUUCAUCAAUAUGUAAUACAUGUAAUACUAUAGCUAAGACUUCAACUCUUCCAGGCAAAAUUGUUCAAAGACUUAACUGGCUACUGUGGAUUUUUUAUUAUUUGUGGGAUACCAAUUUUUGUGGACUUCAUGGGUAUAGGUAAACCACAAAUUUAAAUGUUCAACAAGGGACACAUUUUCUGUAGACUUAAAUGCAGACUAAGUCAAAAUAAAAAAUACACAAAAAUGCAAUUUUUCCCCAAUCCACAAAUAAUAGAUCCCACUAAUAUGAAUUCACAGUAUUCCAUAAUCCAGUAACAUCCUUUAUGUGAAUGAAUAUAAAUAAUAAUUACCAUUGAUACCUGUAAUGGUAAUAAAUGAUGGGACAAUAAAAAUACUUCAAAUAUUAAUGCCAUAUACAAACUCAAGUCUUUCAGUUUCUUAAGUGUCAAAAGGUAGUGAAAUGGUGCAAAAUAUAACUCCAUUCCUUAUAAAAACCCAAAACUCUUUUCAUAAUAUACCCAAAUCUGAUAAUAUGGAGAAGUGGUAUGAUUGCCAAUUAGACAACUAUCCAGUAUUCAUCAGAAUUCCCCAAAAAUGUUUUCAUUGAAACAGAAAGCUACUUAAAUUUUUGAUUUAUGUUGAAAAAAUAUCUAAGGGACGAAUUUAAUUCUUCAGGUUAAGAGUAAUGAUUUAAUGUUAAACGAUUUUCUUGUUAUUAUUUAAAAUGAUUUUUUUUACUUGGAAUUAUCACCAAUUUAACAAUAAAUAAUGACAUAUUCUAUAUGUUUUAUGUAAAAGUAUAACAAAUCAAAACAUUCAUUCAACACUAAAAAAAAAUAGAAAAAAAUAAAUAACAUAUCUACAAAUUUCAAACCUUAUGUACAUAACAAAAUUCUUAACAGAUUAUAUAUAUAUAUAUUAUGGCAAUAUUGCACCUCAUAAAUAAUUUUGUAAUAUAGUUUUCUGCUACAAUAUAUUUGUCAUGAGUAUUCACCAUUUAUACUUCUUCUCUUUGUAAUCUAAACAUCUAAACUUAUGAAAAAUAAAAAUGAAUUAAUCAUUUCAGGUACAUUUUUCUUCAAAUUAAAAGAUAACAAGAAUGUGUCAAAAGUACACGGAUGCCCCACUCGCACUAUAAUUUUCUAUGUUUGAUGGACCGUGAAAUUGGGUAAAAAAUAAUUUGGAAUUAAAAUUAGAAAGAUCAUACCAUAGUGAAGUUAAGUGAACAUGUGUACUAAGUUUCAAGUUGAUUGAACUUCAACUUCAUUAAAAGCUACCUUGACCAAAAACUUUAACCUGAAACUCGCACUUUCAUUUUCUAUGUUCGGUGGACCGUGAAAUUGGGGUCAAAAGUCUAAUUUGGCUUUUAAAUUAGAAAGAUCAUAUCAUAAGGAACAUGUGUACUAAGUUUCAAUUUGAUUUGACUUCAGCUUCAUCAAAAACUAACUUGACCAAAAACUUUAACCUGAAGUGGGACGGACGGACAAACAAACGGACGAACGAACGGACAGACAGACCAGAAAACAUAAUGCCCCUCUACUAUUGUAGGUGGGGCAUAAAAAGUUCAAAAUUGUUUAUUAUCACCAUUUGAAGAUCAUUAAUUUGUCUUUAUGAUUUAAUAAACUACUAAAUGUAUAAAAUUUCCUUGUUUUCAAAAAAUUGGUUUAUCUAUACAAUUAUAUAAAAUUUCACCUGGAAAUUAACUGUUCA
rnacentral:lncRNA from 1 species